AACCUAUAAGUCUGGUAUCAAAGAGUGGAGAACUCAUAUAGGACAUCCUUGGUGUCUCAAGUCUAAGGACCAGAUACACAAUUAGGACUAUGGAAUCGCUGUCUGACAAUAAGGCAUCAUCAACCAUCCAGCAUUCCGUAAGCGGAUCAAUCAGUGAACUCAUUCUCCAAUGAGCACCUGUACUGUAUCCCUAGUGUCCC
rnacentral:lncRNA from 1 species